rnacentral:rRNA from 1 species
AGAGUUUGAUCCUGGCUCAGAUUGAACGCUGGCGGCAUGCUUUACACAUGCAAGUCGAACGGCAGCACGGGGGCAACCCUGGUGGCGAGUGGCGAACGGGUGAGUAAUGCAUCGGAACGCGUCCUGUAAUGGGGGAUAACCUAGCGAAAGUUAGGCUAAUACCGCAUACGUCCUGAGGGAGAAAGCGGGGGAUCGUAAGACCUCGUGUUAUAGGAGCGGCCGAUGUCGGAUUAGAUAGUUGGCGGGGUAACGGCCCACCAAGUCUACGAUGGAUAGGGGUUCUGAGAGGAAGGUCCCCCACAUUGGAACUGAGACACGGUCCAAACUCCUACGGGAGGCAGCAGUGAGGAAUAUUGGUCAAUGGACGCGAGUCUGAACCAGCCAAGUAGCGUGAAGGAUGACUGCCCUAUGGGUUGUAAACUUCUUUUAUAAGGGAAUAAAGUGAGGGACGUGUCCCUUUUUGUAUGUACCUUAUGAAUAAGGAUCGGCUAACUCCGUGCCAGCAGCCGCGGUAAUACGGAGGAUCCAAGCGUUAUCCGGAUUUAUUGGGUUUAAAGGGAGCGUAGGUUGACAUAUAAGUCAGCUGUGAAAGUUUACGGCUCAACCGUGAAAUUGCAGUUGAUACUGUAUGUCUUGAGUGUACAAGAGGUGGGCGGAAUUCGUGGUGUAGCGGUGAAAUGCUUAGAUAUCACGAAGAACUCCAAUUGCGAAGGCAGCUCACUGGGGUACAACUGACACUGAGGCUCGAAAGUGUGGGUAUCAAACAGGAUUAGAUACCCUGGUAGUCCACACAGUAAACGAUGAAUACUCGCUGUUUGCGAUAUACAGUAAGCGGCCAAGCGAAAGCAUUAAGUAUUCCACCUGGGGAGUACGCCGGCAACGGUGAAACUCAAAGGAAUUGACGGGGGCCCGCACAAGCGGAGGAACAUGUGGUUUAAUUCGAUGAUACGCGAGGAACCUUACCCGGGCUUGAAUUGCAGAGGAACAUAGUUGAAAGAUUAUGGCCGCAAGGUCUCUGUGAAGGUGCUGCAUGGUUGUCGUCAGCUCGUGCCGUGAGGUGUCGGCUUAAGUGCCAUAACGAGCGCAACCCUUAUCAUUAGUUACUAACAGGUCAUGCUGAGGACUCUAGUGAGACUGCCGUCGUAAGAUGUGAGGAAGGUGGGGAUGACGUCAAAUCAGCACGGCCCUUACGUCCGGGGCUACACACGUGUUACAAUGGGGGGUACAGAGGGCAGCUACCGGGCGACCGGAUGCCAAUCCCAAAAACCUCUCUCAGUUCGGAUCGAAGUCUGCAACCCGACUUCGUGAAGCUGGAUUCGCUAGUAAUCGCGCAUCAGCCACGGCGCGGUGAAUACGUUCCCGGGCCUUGUACACACCGCCCGUCAAGCCAUGGGAGCCGGGGGUACCUGAAGUACGUAACCGCAAGGAGCGUCCUAGGGUAAAACUGGUGACUGGGGCUAAGUCGUAACAAGGUAACC